GCCCAGUCCCAGCUACACAAGAGGCUGAAGCAGGUGGAUUGCUUGAACCCAGGAGUUCUAGGCUGUAGUGCCCUAUGCCAGUUGGGUGUCUGCACUAAGUUUGGCAUCAAUAUGGUGGCCUCCCAAGAUGGGGGGACCACAGGUUGCCUAAGGAGUGGUAAAGCAGCCCAGGUCACAGACAGAGCAGGUCAAAGCUCCUGUGCUGAUCAGUAACGGGACUGCACCUGUGAAUAACCGCUGCAUUCCAGCCUGGGCAACAUAGCAAGAUCCUGUCCCU
rnacentral:SRP_RNA from 1 species